rnacentral:tRNA from 1 species
ACGGAAUUAGCUCAGUUGGUAGAGCACUGGUCUCCAAAACCAGGUGUCAGGAGUUCGAGUCUCUUAUUCCGUGC